UACGAAGGGGGCUAGCGUUGCUCGGAAUUACUGGGCGUAAAGGGCGCGUAGGCGGACAGUUUAGUCAGAGGUGAAAGCCCAGGGCUCAACCUUGGAAUUGCCUUUGAUACUGGCUGUCUUGAGUUCGGGAGAGGUGAGUGGAAUGCCGAGUGUAGAGGUGAAAUUCGUAGAUAUUCGGCGGAACACCAGUGGCGAAGGCGACUCACUGGCCCGAUACUGACGCUGAGGCGCGAAAGCGUGGGGAGCAACAGGGAUUAAGAAACCC
rnacentral:rRNA from 1 species